rnacentral:sRNA from 1 species
GUAAGUGAAGACUUUUUUAUAGUUUGAACAUUUACUGGCUGCCUUCAACGAGGUUCUCAAUAGCUAUACUAAUUUCAACAUUGGACUUUCAGAAGCUGACAAAGCAGCUCUUCAGAGUUCUUGGAGCAGACUUACAGCUGGAGCCAACGGAAAAAGAAAUGCUGGAGUUAGACUUGUUCUCUGGAUGUUCGACAAAGUUCCCAACAUGCGUGAAAGAUUCACCAAAUUUAAUGCAAGAGAGUCUGAUGAUGCUUU